rnacentral:rRNA from 1 species
UACGAAGGGGGCUAGCGUUGUUCGGAAUCACUGGGCUUAAAGGGCGCGUAGGCGGGCGCACAAGUCAGGGGUGAAAGCCCACGGCUCAACCGUGGAAGAGCCUUUGAUACUGUGUGUCUUGAGGGAGGUAGGGGCGUGCGGAACUUCCGGUGGAGCGGUGAAAUGCGUAGAUAUCGGAAGGAACACCGGUGGCGAAAGCGGCGCGCUGGACCUCUUCUGACGCUGAGGCGCGAAAGCUAGGGGAGCAAACGGG